rnacentral:lncRNA from 1 species
CCUUUUAUCAACCUUUGAAUGGAACUAGGUAUUACUCUUUGUGAAUAUGAAGUCAAAAUUAAUAAUUAAUAAAGGUAAAAUAUACCUUUUAUGUUUAUUCACAGUUGUCAUCACGAAGGUUGCUGAGUUUUUUUGUGCUCACAGACCCUGAUCAGUUCUACUAGAGCAUUGUAAUUAACAAUCACCCGCAGUUGAUUUCAUGACCGGUGGGCUUUCAGCAAAUAAACAAUCAGAAGGAAUCAAUACGAAUAUAACCCGUUGAGUUCAACAUCCUCCAAUAAUAUAAUCAUGCCUCGAUUGGAAUUAGUACUACAAUAUAUAACAUCUUCUUUUUGUAGUUUUUUAUUUAUAUGUGUCUAUAUGGUUUUCCAUGAAAAUCCAAAAGGGCCUCGAAGUGUUGGAGCUUGGAUCUGGGGGGUGCAUUGGUGAGCCAUCCCUUCUCCUUCACUGGCUUCUCUAGUUUUUUUGUGCAUAUCAUGCCUUGAUUUGUGCUCAGUUGGUGUGAAAUGUGCAAGCAAAGCUAUGUGUGCGAUCUACUGCCUGUUAUCAUGUGUCACAAACUACUAUAAAUGCAUACUAAUGCCCCUUUAUUAUAUAUGUCUACUGCCUUUUACAUUCUCUAGGGCUAAGCCACUACUUAUUCCAGUAUACUGAAUUGCUAUUGUCUGCACUUCUAUUGUGUUUUGUUAUACCUUUUAAACAUGCACCGUAUGCCAUAGAUUGGUAUGACAAGCACAACCACUGUGAUAUGUGUGAAGAGAUGUGACGUAUCUUGAUGUUUUUACUGAACCAUUAUUAUUCUGGGUGCAUAACGAUUGUAUGGUACUGUCAUUUCUUUUAUAUCACUGUUUGCAUCACCAGGUGUUUACGCUAAAACAAGUCGGUUGCUGCAAGUCUUGCAAGAAAUUUGGGUGACAAGGCGUCUGGACGGAACUAUCUAUCCAUCUAUCUAUCUAAUAUAGUUUACUACUAUACCAUGUAAAAUCAGUGUCUCCACUACCACUAUGGCUUGGUGUGGUCAUGCUAUGAUGUUAGCGGACACGAAUGUUUAGUGAUAUGUUGAUUCAGGAAAUUUGCAUUUGGUUCAGCAUGUAGUUGGGCUCUAUGCUCUUAGGAGAUAAUGUUCUGUGAAUUCUUUUCCAACUGUUAUUGCCACAAAAUUGAAAUUUGGUAUUGACAUUAUGAAGAUUACCGUAAGUGUGAAAGAUAUUGAG